rnacentral:rRNA from 1 species
GACGAACGCUGGCGGCGUGCUUAACACAUGCAAGUGGAGCGACGAACCGGGGGCUUGCCCCGGGCAAAGCCGCGAACGGGUGAGUAACACGUGGGUAACCCACCUCGAUGGCCGGGACAACCCGAGGAAACUCGGGCUAAUACCGGAUGUGCUCUUCUCUCGCAAGAGAGUUGAGGAAAGGUAGCUUCGGCCUCCGCAUCGAGACGGGCCCGCGGCCCAUUAGCUUGUUGGUGGGGUAACGGCCUACCAAGGCUGCGAUGGGUAGCUGGUCUGAGAGGACGAUCAGCCACACUGGGACUGAGACACGGCCCAGACUCCUACGGGAGGCAGCAGUGGGGAAUCUUGCACAAUGCGCGAAAGCGUGAUGCAGCAACGCCGCGU